rnacentral:tRNA from 1 species
GAGGGUAUACCUCAGUGGUAGAGCGCAAACCUAGCAUGCCCGAGGCCCUGGGUUCAAUCCCCUGUACCUCCU